GAUGAACGCUGGCGGCGUGCCUAAUACAUGCAAGUCGAGCGAACAGAUGAGGAGCUUGCUCCUCUGACGUUAGCGGCGGACGGGUGAGUAACACGUGGAUAACCUACCUAUAAGACUGGGAUAACUUCGGGAAACCGGAGCUAAUACCGGAUAAUAUAUUGAACCGCAUGGUUCAAUAGUGAAAGACGGUUUUGCUGUCACUUAUAGAUGGAUCCGCGCCGCAUUAGCUAGUUGGUAAGGUAACGGCUUACCAAGGCGACGAUGCGUAGCCGACCUGAGAGGGUGAUCGGCCACACUGGAACUGAGACACGGUCCAGACUCCUAUGGGAGGCAGCAGUAGGGAAUCUUCCGCAAUGGGCGAAAGCCUGACGGAGCAACGCCGCGUGAGUGAUGAAGGUCUUCGGAUCGUAAAACUCUGUUAUUAGGGAAGAACAAAUGUGUAAGUAACUAUGCACGUCUUGACGGUACCUAAUCAGAAAGCCACGGCUAACUACGUG
rnacentral:rRNA from 1 species